rnacentral:rRNA from 1 species
GACGAACGCUGGCGGCGUGCUUAACACAUGCAAGUCGAACGGAAAGGCCCUGCAUUUGUGGGGUGCUCGAGUGGCGAACGGGUGAGUAUCACGUGUGUAACCUGCCCUUGACUUUGGGAUAACUUCAGGGAACUGGGGCUAAUACCGGAUAUGAGCUCCUGCUGCAUGGUGGGGGUUGGAAAGUUUCGGCGGUUGGGGAUGGACUCGCGGCUUAUCAGCGUGUUGGUGGGGUAGUGGCUUACCAAGGCUUUGACGGGUAGCCGGACUGAGAGGGUGACCGGCCACAUUGGGACUGAGAUACGGCCCAGACUCCUACGGGAGGCAGCAGUGGGGAAUAUUGCAAGAUGGGCGGAAGCCUGAUGCAGCAACGCCGCGUGCGGGAUGACGGCCGUCGGGGUGUAAACCGCGUGCGCCUGUGACGAAGCGUGAGUGACGGUAAUGGGUAAAGAAGCACCGGCUAACUACGUG